CCAGACUCCUACGGGAGGCAGCAGUGGGGAAUAUUGCACAAUGGGGGAAACCCUGAUGCAGCGACGCCGCGUGAGUGAAGAAGUAUUUCGGUAUGUAAAGCUCUAUCAGCAGGGAAGAUAAUGACGGUACCUGACUAAGAAGCCCCGGCUAACUACGUGCCAGCAGCCGCGGUAAUACGUAGGGGGCAAGCGUUAUCCGGAUUUACUGGGUGUAAAGGGUGCGCAGGUGGCAGGGCAAGUCAGAUGUGAAAGCCCGGGGCUCAACCCCGGUAUUGCAUUUGAAACUGUCCGGCUAGAGUGCAGGAGAGGUAAGCGGAAUUCCUAGUGUAGCGGUGAAAUGCGUAGAUAUUAGGAGGAACACCAGUGGCGAAGGCGACUUUCUGGACUGUACCUGACGCUGAGGCGCGAAAGCGUGGGUAGCGAACGGGAUUAGAUACCCCCGUAUU
rnacentral:rRNA from 1 species